UCACAAUCACUAUCACAGAUCCAAAGCAUUCAGCUCAGCUCCCCUUAGCUCCUAGUGGCUGAGGAGAACAAAAGCAUCAGUGCAGCAUCUCAACAAGUUUUGCUGUAUUGCUGCCACACAAUACAGAUGUUUUGGUAGCAAAUGCAGCCUCCAUCCAAGGAUGUGCCUUUUGAAGAGGAGAGCAGCAGAAAUGCUUUCACCCAGAGAUGCAAACAAGCCUUGAGAGGGGCAGACAAGAUUUACCCAGGAAGCAAUAGGAGCCCUUGAGCCCCGAUGCCAAUAAUCCUCAUCUGGAGUCAGUCCCGUUGGCUCCAGCCACUGCUGAGCUUGCUGGUGGAGAAAACCACUGCAUUGGAUCAAAUCAAUGUUAAAGGAAACUUCACAGAAGUCAAUAGCUAGUGGUCAAGAAGAGUUGCCAGACUCUUGCUUUCUCAGUAACUAAUAAAAGUGCUUUUUAGCACAAUUAAUGUGAUGUCUUGCUGAAGACUGAAGGAAAUCGGAAUUGAAACAUUUCUAUUUUGACAGACUCAGUGGAAAACUUCUGUUCAGACUGGUAGGAAUGAGACCAAUAAAUUUCUGUAAAAACUUUCUGAAUUCAGCCUUCAAGAUAAUAGAUAGGCUGUUCUGACUGUGGAUAAAUAAACUCUGUUUUAGUAAGCGUUUAAAGACUUUCAGGAUGACGAAGUGGAACAUACUUCAAGUCUCCAAAGAUGGGAAGUGGCUUCUGAGUCAAAUACCAAUCCAUGCCAGGGCUCAUAUUUUAGACUGAGGUCACUCUUUUGUGACUUGUUGACAGUGGUUUUUUUUUGUUGUUGUUUUGCUGUUGUUGUUGUUUUUGUGUUUUGAAGGAAAAAAGAAGAAAGAAAAAAAGAAAAAGAAAACAUCACAGGCUGAAAAUAACAGUAAAACACUCAGCAGCUGCAAACCUGCUCUUAAAAAAAGCUUCCCAGGGGACAUAAAGCUUCAGCUACAGCCCAGAAAACCAGCUCAUCAAGCAACUAGUGAGGUGGAAAACCCUAUCUUGGGUGACAACAGGCCCACCUGUUGCUCAUUUCUGUCAAGGCACCAGAAGACGCCAGGAAAUAUUUGUUCCCACCAGCAAGUACUCAAAGGGCAGCCUCAAGGUGGGAGCAUCUCUCUGCCUUCCCAUUUUGUGAAGACCAUCUCAACUUGCAGCUCUUGCCUGCUCAGGCCAUCCCAAAAGCAGGCGGUGGAAAGGCUGGAUCAGUA
ensembl:lncRNA